GUGGGGAAUAUUGCACAAUGGGGGAAACCCUGAUGCAGCCAUGCCGCGUGUGUGAAGAAGGCCUUCGGGUUGUAAAGCACUUUCAGCGAGGAGGAAAGGAUGUUGGCUAAUAUCCAGCAUCUGUGACGUUACUCGCAGAAGAAGCACCGGCUAACUCCGUGCCAGCAGCCGCGGUAAUACGGAGGGUGCAAGCGUUAAUCGGAAUUACUGGGCGUAAAGCGCACGCAGGCGGUUGGAUAAGUUAGAUGUGAAAGCCCCGGGCUCAACCUGGGAAUUGCAUUUAAAACUGUCCAGCUAGAGUCUUGUAGAGGGGGGUAGAAUUCCAGGUGUAGCGGUGAAAUGCGUAGAGAUCUGGAGGAAUACCGGUGGCGAAGGCGGCCCCCUGGACAAAGACUGACGCUCAGGUGCGAAAGCGUGGGGAGCAAACAGGAUUAGAAACCCCUGUAGUCC
rnacentral:rRNA from 1 species